UGGGAACAUGCCCUUCGGUUCGGAAUAACUCAGGGAAACUGAGCUAAUACCGGAUACGUCCGUAAGGAGAAAGAUUUAUCGCCGAAGGAUUGGCCCGCGUCCGAUUAGCUUGUUGGUGAGGUAAUGGCUUACCAAGGCGACGACGGGUAGCCGGCCUGAGAGGGUGACCGGCCACACUGGGACUGAGACACGGCCCAGACUCCUACGGGAGGCAG
rnacentral:rRNA from 1 species